AUAACAACUACUCGUUUCAUGUACUUUUGUCCAUUUGCAUAUUGUUUAGAUUAAUUAAUCAAGAUAAUAGUAAUUGAACAUGCAAUAUCAGUAACUGCUGUUAUUAAUCUCUUAGAAUUUUCAGAGAUUCCAUUGUCAUAUGAUGGUCAUCUUUUUCACGGUUACUAUCAGUACUGUAAAUCAUAAUAGACUCGACAGAUUUAAGACCUCUAAUCUUUGUAUGGCUAAUGGUGCAAAUCAAAAGCCAUAAUAUCUACCACAACUUUUGAGAAAAUUUCCUAUCCUUCUUCCACUCAAUUUGACUCAUCUUAGAAUUGGGGGGUCUCCGUGGUGGCCGAGCUUAAGCAACUCGACAGGAAAGUAUCGUUUUCUUCCACUAUCGGCCGUCACUGUCUUACUUUUAAAAGACUAUUCUCAAAAGUUGAGGAAGAGACGGAUGUGUCUGUCUUCCUACGUUUACAGUCACUUGGAAGUUAAAGUUUUGUCCGAACCCAAGGACGGGAAAGCCAAGAAGAAGUCUCGAGCAGAGACGUAGCUAAUUAAUAACGGUACUAAGUCUGAACGAAGGUGAUUAUUGUUUCGACUUAUUCAAAGCUUGAAUCACCGGAAACCUUCAGGAUUCCGGUGCCCUUUUUCUUCUUUCAGGUCUCUGCUCGACCAACAAGCAGUAGCACCUCCGUUAAUCAGCCUAGUCCCCAUUCUUAUAGUUUGGAACUCAACAACCACCUUGAUCUCACAAUUCCAGGAAAGUUGCAGCUGCGACAGAUACAACGACUGAUGAUGACUCGUUUGACAGAAACUUGACGUUUGACGCGUAAGUCAAUGAGAUUUGAAUACACCCAAGCUUUAAAGUACUAAAUAAUACUUAGAAAAACCUGAAGCUUUAACCAUCUUGUACUGUUCCCUAGUCAGGAUUUGAAACUGAUUUCCAUUCUUUUCUCUAAAGGAAGGUUAAAGAAAACUUGCUCUGAUAUAUGCAGAAAGGUAUGGUUCAUCGAACAAAGGUGUAAAUUUUAUAAAUUUGCUUGUACAGCUCGAUCAAAAGUGGGUAGACUGAAAGGUAUACACCAUCUACCAGGAC
rnacentral:lncRNA from 1 species